UACGUAGGGUGCAAGCGUUGUCCGGAAUUAUUGGGCGUAAAGAGCUCGUAGGCGGUUUGUCGCGUCUGCUGUGAAAUCUUAGGGCUUAACCCUGAGCUUGCAGUGGGUACGGGCAGACUAGAGUGCGGUAGGGGAGACUGGAAUUCCUGGUGUAGCGGUGAAAUGCGCAGAUAUCAGGAGGAACACCGGUGGCGAAGGCGGGUCUCUGGGCCGAUACUGACGCUGGAGGAGCGGAAAGCGUGGGGAGCGAACAGG
rnacentral:rRNA from 1 species